rnacentral:lncRNA from 1 species
CCGCGCAUGCAGGAAGACCACCCUAAGGGAAGAAUCAUGGGAAAGAGGCAGAAAAUUAAAACUGGAUUGCUACCUGGUGCUUCCAUACACUGAAAAGAAAGAACACUCCAAUCUGCCAGCCUUACGAUGUUGGGAAAACGCAUCAAACAGUGCUAAGGUUUUAAGCAUGGAGAAUAUAAUCCAGUUGUAAAGCUAUUAACCCAGAAAAGAUGUCACAUGAAAGUCUGUAAAUAUGAACCACACUCUACUGCCCAGUGAUGGAGAAACCUACUGACUGUGGUGCGCAGAUUCCUAAGACGCCCUCAUGGUAUCCAUGUCCGCAUCAUCUCCUCCCCCUUGAGAGUGGGCUGAACCUGUGACUGGCCUCUAACCAACAGGCUAUCGUGAAGUUCUGCAGCUACAAGAAAAUGAGUUCUGCCAACAACCAAGUGAGCACUGAAGAGGACCCUGAGCAUCAGAGGACAGCCUAGCCCUGGCCAAUGCCUUCAUUGCAGCACUGUGAGACCCGAACAAAAGAUCCAGCUAAUGCAUGUUCAGAAUUCUGAUUCCAGGAAACUGUGGAAUAAUAAAUGCUCCUAUGUUAAGCUGCUAAGUGUGUGGUAAUGUUUUUACUCAGCAAUAGAAAACUACUGCUGGAUGGGCGCGGUGGCUUGUGCCUGUAAUCCCAGCACUUUGGGAGACCGAGGCACAUGGAUCACUUGAGGUCAAAAGUUCAAAACUAGCCUGGCCAACAUCGUGAAACCCCAUCUCUACUAAAAAUAGAAAAAUUAGCCAGGCAUGGUGGCACAUGCCUGUAAUCCUAGCUACUCGGGAGUCUGCGGCAGAAGAAUCA